CAGCAGCCACGGUAAUACAGAGGGUGCGAGCGUUAAUCGGAUUUACUGGGCGUAAAGCGUGCGUAGGCGGCUUCUUAAGUCGGAUGUGAAAUCCCUGAGCUUAACUUAGGAAUUGCAUUCGAUACUGGGAAGCUAGAGUAUGGGAGAGGAUGGUAGAAUUCCAGGUGUAGCGGUGAAAUGCGUAGAGAUCUGGAGGAAUACCGAUGGCGAAGGCAGCCAUCUGGCCUAAUACUGACGCUGAGGUACGAAAGCAUGGGGAGCAAACAGGAUUAGAUAUCCCCGUAGUCCUUGUCUCUUAUAC
rnacentral:rRNA from 1 species